AUUGAACGCUGGCGGCAUGCCUUACACAUGCAAGUCGAACGGUAACGCGGGGCAACCUGGCGACGAGUGGCGAACGGGUGAGUAAUGUAUCGGAACGUGCCCAGGUGUGGGGGAUAACUGCUCGAAAGAGCAGCUAAUACCGCAUACGACCUGAGGGUGAAAGCGGGGGAUCGCAAGACCUCGCGCAAUUGGAGCGGCCGAUAUCAGAUUAGGUAGUUGGUGAGGUAAAGGCUCACCAAGCCGACGAUCUGUAGCUGGUCUGAGAGGACGACCAGCCACACUGGGACUGAGACACGGCCCAGACUCCUACGGGAGGCAGCAGUGGGGAAUUUUGGACAAUGGACGCAAAUCUGAUCCAGCCAUGCCGCGUGCGGGAAGAAGGCCUUCGGGUUGUAAACCGCUUUUGUCAGGGAAGAAACGCUCUGGGUUAAUACCUCGGGGUAAUGACGGUACCUGAAGAAUAAGCACCGGCUAACUACGUGCCAGCCGCCGCCGUAACAC
rnacentral:rRNA from 1 species